GGAGAAACCACUUUCAACCUUCGCUGUCCACCACCUCCUUCCUCCAGGAAUUCUUCCUGAUCUCUAUGUGCUGAGCGGAUGCCCCACCUGUGUGCCCCUUAACACCUGAACAGCACUGUCCUAGCACUGUUCUGGCUGAUUAAUUGCUUGCCUGUUUGUCCUCCAUGAAACCAGGCACCAUGAGUGUGCUCCCCGCCAUCGCAUCCUCAGCACCCAGCACAGAGCCUGGCACCUAAUAGGUGCUCAAGAAAUCGUUGCUCAUGAAACACUGAAUGAAUAUGUGCUCUGUGAACUGGGCACACCCUUUGUUACUGGUUUUGCUCCUUCUGAAGUCCAAGAUCUGCAUCUCAGAAAGCAUGCACUCCUUGUUGUGUGGUGAGGGAUCAUCUGUAGGCACUGGCAUAUGUAGAACCGCAUCAACUCCACAUGAAGUAGGUGGCCUUGUGACAAGAAUUCUGAGCAGAAGGGGCCAGAUGCAGUGGCUGAUGCCUGUAAUCUCAGCACUUUGAGAAGCCAAUGCAGGAGGACUGCUUGAGCCUAGGAGUUUGAGACCAUCCUAGGCAACAUAAUAAGACCCUAUCUCUACAAAAAAAAUUUAAUUAGCCAGGCAUGGUGGCACGUGUCUGUAUUCCCAGCUAUUCUGGAGGCUGAGGUGGGAGAAUUGUUUGAGACUGGGAAUUUGAGGCUGCAGUGAGCUGUGAUCACUCCACUGCACUCCAGACUGCACAACAGAGCAAGACCCUGUCUGAAAAGAAAAGAAAAAGAAGAGAAAAGAAUUCUCAGCAGAAGAAUCAGUGCAUACUUCACCAUUUUCUUCUUUCGUUCUGCUAUGAUGGCCUGCAAGUCCACCCAGGAUUACAGAGUAAGAUAAUACUAUGUGGGGGCAGAACCCUAAGACAGCAUUCGAUGUGGCUGUUUUAAGCCUCUGAAAUAUGGGAUUUGCUUUUUAUCUCAGCAUAAUCUGAUUCACACAGUUAUCUAUAGAAAUUGUCUGGAAACAUUCUAUGUGAAAACAUCUCUUGUCUCUCAAGCUUCUCAAAAUGAUUUUUCCUUUUUUUUUUAAAUGUUCAAAGCUAUAAGAAUUUGAUCAAGAGGCUUUAAAAAGAAGUGAUUUUACCUAGCCUAUCCCAAAACAUACAGAAAUUAUCUUGAAGAGAACAUAUUUUAUAUUACAAUUUGAUUUCCAUUGAGAACCUUCCAUUUAGGUUUUAUAAAGAAAGAUUUCCUAACUCUUAACCCAUUGAACUGAUUACCUUUUAGCCCAACAUUGAGGAAGAAAGAAUAAACCAUUCUGGUUCUCUUGGACAGAGUACACAUUUCUGGGCCUCAUCCACUGACCAACCAGAAGGUACCAGGCAGAGCUCACGCAUUGUUUUUCUGAUCAGGAAAGCUGGGAUUCCUUGGUUUGCUUAGCGUUCUAUCAGAUUAAGUGUGCACCAUGCCAUAUCACGUUCAAAGAGGUCUUUUUUAUGCAAUCUUUAAAUGAUCCCACUCCAAACCAAAUAUCAUCUUGCAAGCAAAGUUUAUGGAGCCAAAACAACUGCAAAUUACCACCACAUUAAAAGUUUCAUUUAAAUACAUGAUCUCAUCUUAAAGCUAGGAAGUGUAAUUAGCAUUUUCCCUUUCUUAGCAGUGAAGAAACCACCCUCCAGAUUCCAAAGAACAUAAAACCUCCAAUGGCUAUGAAAAAAAAAAGUUGUCUACGCUAGACAACUGUUUCCAUCAGUUCAAAGACAUACUGUGAAUGGCCAUAAAAAUGUAAUCAAUCCCAUAAGCCACUCAUCAAAAUUUGUCUCAGUACCUUACAUGUAUACUAUUGAGAAAUCUGUCAUUAUAAACUCAUAAUCAAAGAACUAGGUGGUGCUUGGGCUCUGGGUAAACAGAAGACUUUAUAUACUCUCCCUCUUCAGGACAGAAAACUAUAGAUGGCAUGGAAGCUCACGUGUUGUCUAAACUCAUGAUAGUUGUCACCCACAUUAAAUUUACUUACUAAGGGUCAUAAUUUUGCUCUACUUGUAACAUUGAAGGUUAAGGUCUUUCACGUUGGAGAUAAAAGACAAUGAGUGAUAUAUGUUAAUGUUUUUACAAAAAGAAAACAAAUUAUCGUGAUUACAUAACAUGCCACAUGCCAUCGGUCUUUACAAAGGCUUGUCCAACCUCCAUGGGAACACUUCAAGCUACAUACAUGCAUCGCUUGUGAUUACAAGGAGCUCACUCCGAAUUGGAAAACCUGAUUGAAUCUGAGGAUACAGAGAAUCGUCUCAAGUGCCUUUCCGAAAGUCUUGGCUCCCACAAAACCCCAAGUACAAUUGGCCAACCACUUUCACCCUUAACUUUCAAGCUCUUGUGUAUUUUAAGGGAAAUUCAAUCCGUAUGUUUCUGAAUCAUGGAUACUGAAGCCAUUAAGAUUUUUGUUUGGUAAGAGCUUUCUAAAUCCCAAGAUGACUUAUGAGACUUUUUAUAGCCUGUUUACUCUGAAGCAAAGAAGUCACGUCUUGUUGAAAGUAAACAAGGUUUAAAAGUAUGAAACUUUGAGGCUUAGAGAAAACUAAAGUUCAAGAAAGCUUAUGCUCAUCCAACCUGUGCAAAACUCCUUAGUUGAUUUCUCCGAUUUACUCUAUCCAAAGCAGAAAUAAUGACAACUUGGGCCAAUAAAUAGUUAUUUUUAUGAUCACUGUCUACAGUAUUUUAGAACCACAUAGCUCUUUUACUUGAGGCAACAGUCAUUCAAUGGAAUUGCAUACUUAUUCCUUUUUUAAUAAAAAUAUUUUCAAAAGUGAGUGUGGCUGAUUUUGAGUUAUGAUGUGUGACUUGAUUUCAGUUUGUGUGUGUGUAAACUCUGAAGUGCUCCUGGCAAAAUUCUCAUUAAUUCUUGUGCUGUUAAUUUGGAAUUUAUGAUUUGGAAUAACAUUUACCUAUAAUUCAACUAUGAAAACAGGUUUGGAAACAAACUGACAUAAUAAGCAAAAGUUGGGUGGAGACAUUUUAUAAUUUCAUUGUAUCACCUAUUUAUAAUAACAAACUAGUUUAAAGUGUUUAAUUAGUGCCCUUUCAACAAACAAUAUAUACUUAUUAUGAAUAAAU
rnacentral:lncRNA from 1 species